ACGAACGCUGGCGGCGUGCUUAACACAUGCAAGUCGAGCGGUAAGGCCCUUUCGGGGGUACACGAGCGGCGAACGGGUGAGUAACACGUGGGUGACCUGCCCUCAGCUCUGGGAUAAGCCUGGGAAACCGGUCUAAUACUGGAUAUGACUCCAUGACGCAUGUUGUGGGGUGGAAAGCCUUGUGCGGCUGAGGAUGGGCCCGCGGCCUAUCAGCUUGUUGGUGGGGUGANGGCCUACCGAGGCGACGACGGGUAGCCGGCCUGAGAGGGCGACCGGCCACACUGGGACUGAGACACGGCCCAGACUCCUACGGGAGGCAGCAGUGGGGAAUCUUGCGCAAUGGGCGAAAGCCUGACGCAGCGACGCCGCGUGAGGGAUGACGGCCU
rnacentral:rRNA from 1 species